UGUAAAUGAUGAAAAGUCUUUCCCUGACGUCUCAGUGAGGGUUAAAACUGAUUUAAUGAGCCUGAUGC
ensembl:snoRNA SNORD57 small nucleolar RNA, C/D box 57